CGCCUUCACCUGCGCUUUGUCCGCACUUUCCCCGGUGCCCGCCGCCCCCCGGCUCGCUCGGCUGCAAAUAAAGGGGAGGAAAAGCCCCGAGUCGACCCCAGCCUCUCCACAAAAACGCUUUUUUGUGCAAGUUCCCAAAGAAAACGGUGUGCGGGGGGGGGAGGGUGCGUUGCACACGCACACCUUUCUCCAGAAAAAGUCUUUCGGGCUGUGCACCUGCACGUAAGAGAGAGAUUGGCGGCGGAGAAGCUGGAAGAGGCGCCAGCAGAUGUUCCGCGGCGGGUCCUUGCUGUAGCUAGGAGAGAAACCCGUGAAAUACCUCGCAGACCGCUAGGAAAUUCGGCCAGAACGAAUGUUUUUGGAAACGUUCGCGCUCCCCAACCCCGGCUUGGCAAUCUUCACCUGCUGGGUAUUUUCCUGCCGGAAGACGCUGUCUCCAGCCGCGCCCUGGGAUCGCCCCUGCUCGGAACGACUCCGAAACGAGGGACCGUCGCCCAGGGGGGAAAACUACGGGAAAAGCGGGGUUUGAAGCCUGCAGAUUUUUCCCCAAACGGGGACAAACAGGGGUGUCCGCCCCGGGGACUCGGGGGGGCUGAGACCGGCGGAGGCGCGGAGCUGCCCGGCAGAGGCUGACGGCGCCGCUGCCCGCUCGCCAUCCGGGCUGUCCCGGGGCCAGGGCCACCCCCUCAGGUGCCACCAGAGCCAUUUGGGGCCGCAGGGGCGAGGGGUUGCGAUUUCCCCCUCAUGCCCGCUGGAAAAGAAGGAUGUUUUCCUCUGCUGUUUAGCUUUCGUACUAAAGAUGUCAUCUGAAAGUCUGGGAGGGAGAGCCGUGUGCUCCGCUCUCUUCCACGGUAACAACCAUAUUCUGCAUAUUGAAAAAUAUUAUAGACAGUGGAGAAGGCUUCUUUUUUUUUUUUUAUCCCCUUAAAAAGAAAAAAAAAAAAAGAAAAGAAAAAAGAACCAACCUUUUCAAUAUUGAUUCAACAAAAAAAGAGAGGGAGAGAAUUUAAAAAGAGAAGAAGCAGCACCAGCAGCAGGGAGAAUAUAGGCUCAGCAACUCUCCAGGUUCGCUUCCUUAUUAUUACUAUCCAGGGGUAAUUUUUCAUCUCUGCUAGCUAAUCUUUGUUCCUUGUGAAGAUAAUGAAUAGCCCAAUCCUUAUCUCCUGGGCUCCUGGAGGCUGCUGGAGAAUGGGGUUGAACAGGGUUGAAAAUUGGUUCCAAAGUGCUGCUGAAUAAAUGGUGUUCCUUAUCUCUCGCUUCCA
rnacentral:lncRNA from 1 species